rnacentral:lncRNA from 1 species
GAUGUAGGGAUUGGAAUGCAGAGAGAAAGAGGAGAGAAAGAGGGGAAGAAGAAGAGAAAGAGGAGAGGAGAGGAGGAAGAAGAAGAUUAAUUUUCAUGCAAUCAUUCAUUCAUUAAACCCUAAACAUCAGGAUGGACCCAUAUAUAUAGGGUCACAAAAUAACAAAUAACCCCUACAAAUAAAAUAAUUCCAAAAAGCUCCUAAAAUGACAAUAUGCAAAUAAACCCAAAUGACAAUAUGUAAAUAAACC